rnacentral:rRNA from 1 species
AGCGAACGCUGGCGGCAGGCUUAACACAUGCAAGUCGAGCGGGCGUAGCAAUACGUCAGCGGCAGACGGGUGAGUAACGCGUGGGAACGUACCUUUUGGUUCGGAACAACCCAGGGAAACUUGGACUAAUACCGGAUAAGCCCUAACGGGGAAAGAUUUAUCGCCGAAAGAUCGGCCCGCGUCUGAUUAGCUAGUUGGUGAGGUAACGGCCCACCAAGGCGACGAUCAGUAGCUGGUCUGAGAGGAUGAUCAGCCACAUUGGGACUGAGACACGGCCCAAACUCCUACGGGAGGCAGCAGUGGGGAAUAUUGGACAAUGGGCGCAAGCCUGAUCCAGCCAUGCCGCGUGAGUGAUGAAGGCCCUAGGGUUGUAAAGCUCUUUUGUGCGGGAAGAUAAUGACGGUACCGCAAGAAUAAGCCCCGGCUAACUUCGUGCCAGCAGCCGCAGUAACAC